UGGAAUCUCAAUUCUCGAGUCUCAAAUCAAACACCCAAGCCCCCUAGAACCUCCCAGAAGACUCUGUCCAAACAUUUAUUUAAUUCCUCACAAAACCCUUCUCUCUUCCAAUUCAAACCUCCUAAUGGCCGCAACGACGUCGUUUUCCCGUGUUCACCUUCGUUUUCCCACCAACUGCUCCAACGGACCCGCUCUUUCUCCUCACCCCCGCCCCUCUCUCAACUUGUCUGCAAGGCGUAGGUCUUUGAAAGCCCUAAAUUCGUUGAGGUUGAAGCAAAACGAUGUCUUUCUUUCCAAACGGUUUGCUGGGUCGGGUAAGUGUCCCAGGUCUUUUGUUGUUCGAUGCGAUGCUUCCGGUGGAAGGAUCACUCAACAAGAUUUCACAGAGAUGGCUUGGCAAGCAAUUGUUUCUUCACCAGAAGUGGCAAAGGAGAACAAGCAUCAGAUAGUAGAGACAGAGCAUUUGAUGAAGGCUCUGCUGGAGCAGAAGAAUGGACUUGCUCGCAGAAUCUUCUCGAAGGCUGGGGUUGAUAAUACCCGUCUCCUUGAUGCCACUGACAAGUUCAUUCAACGUCAGCCUAAGGUUAUUGGUGAAUCAGCUGGUUCAAUGUUAGGACGGGACUUAGAAAGCUUGAUUCAGCGGGCCAGGGAGUACAAGAAAGAGUAUGGUGAUUCCUUUGUGUCAGUUGAGCACUUGGUUCUUGCCUUUGCACAAGAUCAACGUUUUGGGAAGCAACUGUUUAAGGAUUUUCAAAUCUCCCAGAAAGCCUUAAAAUCUGCAAUCGAGGCCAUAAGAGGACGCCAACAAGUCAUUGAUCAAGAUCCUGAAGGGAAGUAUGAAGCACUUGAGAAAUAUGGAAAAGAUUUGACAGCCAUGGCAAAAGCAGGAAAGCUUGACCCAGUAAUAGGAAGAGAUGAUGAAAUACGGAGGUGCAUCCAGAUUCUCUCCAGGAGAACAAAGAACAAUCCUGUGCUAAUUGGUGAGCCAGGUGUUGGAAAAACUGCAAUUUCUGAAGGGCUUGCUCAGAGAAUCGUGCAAGGGGAUGUGCCUCAAGCUUUGAUGAAUCGUAAGCUUAUAUCUCUUGACAUGGGUGCACUCAUAGCUGGGGCAAAAUUUCGAGGGGAAUUUGAGGAUAGGCUGAAGGCUGUACUCAAGGAAGUAACAGAAUCAGAUGGCCAGACUAUCCUUUUUAUUGACGAGAUCCACACAGUUGUUGGAGCAGGUGCUACAAAUGGUGCAAUGGAUGCGGGCAAUCUACUGAAACCAAUGCUUGGUCGUGGAGAGUUGCGAUGUAUUGGUGCAACAACACUGGAUGAGUAUCGGAAAUAUAUUGAGAAAGAUCCAGCAUUGGAACGUCGUUUCCAGCAAGUUUAUGUGGAUCAACCUACAGUGGAAGAUACAAUUUCCAUACUUCGUGGGUUGCGGGAAAGAUAUGAACUGCAUCAUGGUGUCCGCAUCUCUGACAGUGCACUUGUGGAGGCGGCAAUUCUGUCUGAUCGUUACAUCAGUGGUCGCUUUUUACCUGACAAAGCUAUUGACCUAGUUGAUGAAGCAGCUGCUAAACUGAAGAUGGAAAUUACAUCAAAACCCACUGCACUUGAUGAGAUCAACCGUUCUGUACUGAAGCUGGAGAUGGAAAGGCUGUCUCUUACAAAUGAUACAGAUAAAGCUUCAAAAGAUAGGUUGAGUCGCCUUGAGGCUGAGCUGUCUCUGUUAAAAGAGAAACAAGCAGAGCUGAGUGAGCAAUGGGAGCAUGAAAAAUCAGUUAUGACACGCCUUCAGUCAAUCAAAGAAGAGAUUGACAGGGUGAAUCUUGAGAUUCAGCAGGCUGAGCGGGAGUAUGACCUUAAUCGUGCUGCUGAACUCAAGUAUGGGAGCCUGAACUCUUUGCAGCGUCAACUUGAAAAUGCGGAAAAAGAGUUGGAUGAGUAUAUGAAAUCUGGGAAAUCCAUGCUAAGAGAAGAGGUUACAGGGAAUGAUAUUGCUGAAAUUGUCAGUAAAUGGACUGGUAUCCCUGUUUCCAAGCUACAACAAUCAGAGAGGGAGAAACUAUUACAUUUGGAAGAAGAGCUACAUAAACGUGUCGUUGGUCAAGAUCCUGCAGUGAGAUCAGUAGCUGAGGCCAUCCAGCGGUCCCGAGCAGGUCUCUCUGAUCCUCACCGCCCAAUUGCUAGUUUCAUGUUCAUGGGUCCUACAGGUGUUGGGAAGACAGAGCUAGCCAAGGCCCUUGCUUCCUACAUGUUCAACACUGAAGAAGCCCUUGUGCGAAUUGAUAUGAGUGAGUACAUGGAAAAACAUGCAGUUUCAAGAUUGAUAGGGGCACCGCCUGGUUAUGUUGGUUACGAGGAAGGAGGGCAGUUGACAGAGACAGUCCGCAGGAGGCCAUAUGCAGUUAUUCUGUUUGAUGAAAUAGAAAAGGCCCAUUCAGAUGUGUUCAAUGUGUUUCUUCAGAUUCUGGAUGAUGGGAGGGUGACUGACUCACAGGGUCGCACUGUGAGCUUUACCAACACUGUCCUCAUUAUGACUUCAAAUGUGGGUUCACAGUACAUUCUCAAUAUGGACAAUGAGACCUUACCAAAAGAGACAGCUUAUGAAACUAUUAAGCAGAGGGUAAUGGAUGCUGCAAGAUCAAUUUUCCGUCCUGAGUUCAUGAACCGAGUUGAUGAGUACAUAGUUUUCCAGCCUCUGGACCGUGAUCAGAUAAGCAGUAUUGUCAAGUUACAGUUGGAACGGGUACAAUUGAGAAUAGCAGACCGGAAGAUGAAACUCCAGGUGACUGAAACAGCGAUUCAGCUGCUAGGAAGUCUUGGGUAUGAUCCCAAUUAUGGUGCUAGGCCAGUCAAGCGGGUGAUCCAGCAAAAUGUUGAAAAUGAACUUGCCAAGGGCAUAUUAAGGGGUGAGUUUAAGGACGAGGACACAGUGUUGAUUGACACAGAGGUCACAGCAUUUUCCAAUGGCCAGCUUCCCCAGCAAAAGCUAAUCCUGAGAAAACUGGAGUCUGAUUCAGACACACCAGCUGCAGAAGGCCAAGAAGCUUUUUCACAAACCAUCUGAACGUCUUUUUGUAGUUUUAUGGUCACCUCUAGUUUCUAACUUUCUACAAAUGCCUAUAAAGAUAUCCGGUUUAUACAAGAGUGCCUUGGGUCUUUUAACACAGCGCAAAAUCAGUUGAGAAACAGGGAGUUGAAUCCUUCUACAGGGCAUGAAAGUCCAAUAUCAUAGUCCUUUGAAAAUGGGAAAUGGGGCAGCAUCUGUGUUGAAAACAUGUGGGACUUUCAUAUUCCUAUCCUGCUUGUAAUGCGAAUCCUAUUUAGAGUGAGCCAUAGUGAGCGCAAAACUAUUGCCCCUAGCCACCAUCCAUCUAAUCGAAAUGAAGAGCUUAACUGCAUCUGUCUU